UUUAAACGCAACCAUAAGUUUUUAUAUCUAAUUUUAAUCAUUCGUCUUAUUUAAUUUUUUUUUAGAUUAGUACUUUUAUUGUUAUUAGAUGAUAAAAUAUGAAUAAUACUUUAUGCGUGACUUAUGUUUUUUAUUUUUUUUAAAAAAAAUAAAUAAGACGGACGAUAAAAGUUGGAUACGGAAACUCACAACUACACUUAAA
rnacentral:pre_miRNA from 1 species